GCAUCGGUGGUUCAAUAGUAUUAUAGAGUGCUCGCCUGCCACGUGGGCAGCCCGGGUUCGAUUCUCGGCCGAUACA
rnacentral:tRNA from 1 species